rnacentral:rRNA from 1 species
UGGUAAUUCUAGAGCUAAUACAUGCCCAAAGCGGCGGCCUCGCGGCAGCCGCAGCUUUUAUUAGUACCAAGACCGAUACGGGCUCGUCCCGUACCUUCUGGUGAAUCUGGAUAACAAGUGGAUCGCACGGCCACCGCGCCGGCGACGCAUCUUUCAAGUGUCUGCCCUAUCAACUUUCGAUGGUAGGGUAUUGGCCUACCAUGGUUGUAACGGGUGACGGGGAAUUAGGGUUCGAUUCCGGAGAGGGAGCCUGAGAAACGGCUACCACAUCCAAGGAAGGCAGCAGGCGCGCAAAUUACCCACUCCCGACUCGGGGAGGUAGUGACGAAAAAUAACGAUACAGGAUCUCUUACGAUCUUGCAAUUGGAAUGAGUACACUUUAAAUCCUUUAACGAGGACCAAUUGGAGGGCAAGUCUGGUGCCAGCAGCCGCGGUAAUUCCAGCUCCAAUAGCGUAUAUUAAAGUUGCUGCAUUUAAAAAGCUCGUAGUUGGAUCUCAGGGUACGGACCGCGGUUCCCUUUGUGGGGUCUACUGCGGUGCGGACCUUCAACUCUCUGCGGCUCCGGAUCGCGUGCACUUCAUCGUGUGCCGGUGCGGUCCGCAACGUUUACCUUGAAAAAAUUAGAGUGCUCAAAGCAGGCGCCUCCGCCCGGAUAGUUCAGCAUGGAAUAAUGGAACAGGACCUCGUGUCCCGUUUUGUUGGUCUUCUGGACCGAGGUAAUGAUUAUUAGGAACAGACGGGGGCAUUCGUACUGCGGCGCUAGAGGUGAAAUUCUUG